UGGGGAAUAUUGCGCAAUGGACGAAAGUCUGACGCAGCGACGCCGCGUGCGGGAUGAAGGCCCUCGGGUUGUAAACCGCUUUCAGCAGGGACGAAAUUGACGGUACCUGCAGAAGAAGCCCCGGCCAACUACGUGCCAGCAGCCGCGGUAAUACGUAGGGGGCAAGCGUUGUCCGGAUUUAUUGGGCGUAAAGAGCUCGUAGGUGGUUCGGUAAGUCGGAUGUGAAAUCUCCAGGCUCAACCUGGAGGGGUCAUUCGAUACUGCCGUGACUAGAGGUCGGUAGGGGAGUGUGGAAUUCCUGGUGGAGCGGUGAAAUGCGCAGAUAUCAGGAGGAACACCCGUAGCGAAGGCGGCACUCUGGGCCGAUACUGACACUGAGGAGCGAAAGCGUGGGGAGCGAACAGGAUUAGAUACC
rnacentral:rRNA from 1 species